rnacentral:rRNA from 1 species
GAUGAACGCUGGCGGCGUGCCUAAUACAUGCAAGUCGAGCGAACGGACGAGAAGCUUGCUUCUCUGAUGUUAGCGGCGGACGGGUGAGUAACACGUGGAUAACCUACCUAUAAGACUGGGAUAACUUCGGGAAACCGGAGCUAAUACCGGAUAAUAUUUUGAACCGCAUGGUUCAAAAGUGAAAGACGGUCUUGCUGUCACUUAUAGAUGGAUCCGCGCUGCAUUAGCUAGUUGGUAAGGUAACGGCUUACCAAGGCAACGAUGCAUAGCCGACCUGAGAGGGUGAUCGGCCACACUGGAACUGAGACACGGUCCAGACUCCUACGGGAGGCAGCAGUAGGGAAUCUUCCGCAAUGGGCGAAAGCCUGACGGAGCAACGCCGAGUGAGUGAUGAAGGUCUUGGGAUCGUAAAAAUCGGUUAUUAGGGAAGAACAUAUGUGUAAGUAACUGUGCACAUCUUGACGGUACCUAAUCAGAAAGCCACGGCUAACUACGUG